GGCAUUAUAUUGUUACAACAUAAAUUAGAGACGGAACUUAAAGAACUAGAAGAGAAGCUGCUUCAACCAACAACUACAGUUCCUGCUGCUCCAGUCCAUGUUCCAGCGAGGAAGAAAGAUGCUUGGCCCAUUCCUUAGAAGUGUACAACUGAAGAAGAUAAACUUGCUGAAUGAAGUUUUUUUGAUGAAGUGCUGGGUCUUUGCCUCCAAGUUUAUCACUCGAAUCAUCAUCUCCACAUGCUUCUAGUGUAUCUCCGAAGGUCAGGAUAUGGUUGUCAUCCCAUACAAGGACAAUUUACAACUAUUAAGUGGGUAUUUACAACACCUUAUCGUAUGGAGUCUUUGAGGAAUGAGUUUGACCUUGAUAGGAACUGGCUUUAUUCAAAAGGUUGAUGCAUGUUUUCAAUGAACAAGGUUAGCUCCUUAUUCGAAUGAUCGAGAGUCCAUCAAUGUCAUUGUGCAUGAAAAGGCCGAUAAUUAAAUUUGAAUAGUGGCCAGAAUUAAAUUCGAUCUAUUGUAUUGCACGAUGAAGAGUUUUUGUACUAUUGUCAUAUUUAUUUGAA